rnacentral:lncRNA from 1 species
UAGACAAACACCUCAUUCCAGCAGCUACCACUGCCCCCAUUCACUGGGGAGAAUGGAAGGAAAACAACUGACAACAUCCUCAAAUGUAAACUCAAUUUGCCUCCCUACCUCACACAAGAAGCCAGAGAUCUGCUUAAAAAGGCUCAUCCAUUCUUUAGACACAUUAACUGGGAAGAACUUCUGGCUGGAAAGGUGGAGCCCCCCCUUUAAACCUCUGUUGCAAUCUGAAGAGGAUGUAGGUCAGUUUGAUUCCGAGUCUACACAUCAGACACCUGUCGACAGCCCAGAUGAUUCAACUCUCAGUGAAAGUGCCAAUCAGGUCUUUCCGGUAAGUGAAAGAAUUUCCACGUAGUCAUGGGAAAUUGUAAGUAUGAGGAUGGGCUCUUGGAUAAGAAAAUUCAGUUUGCUUGCUUUGCAGUUCAUGUAGGUAACCUGGCCCACUAUUUUUUUUUUUAAAUAAGCCAUGCUUUUGUAACUCACUGAUACCUACAGAAUUGAUUUUCAUAAGGCAACAUUUUAUUUUAGCAAUUAGAGUGGGAAGGUACAAUUUUUGGAGAGUAUGAUUCCCUUUUUUGGUUGGGCCACAGACUUAAAAUGGUGUUUGGUUUAGCAUCUCAACCAAAAAUUAGUCAUAGCAGUGGGGGAGAAAAACCUCACUAACUGCAUGUAUUUUAUUCCUGAAACAGUUAUAGAUUUUUGGUACUUCUUUUUUUUUUUUGAGACAGGGUCUCACCUUGUAGCCCAGGUUGGGUGUAGUGUAUAGUGGUGUGAUCACAGUUCUCUGCAGCCUUGACCUCCCAGGCUCAAGUGACCCACCCAUUUCAGCCUCGUGAGUACCUGGACUACAGGUGUGUGCCACAUCCAGCUAAGUUUUUAUCAUUUUGUAGAGACAGAGUCUCACUAUUUUACUCCUGGACUCAAGCUAUCUUCCCGCCUCGGCUUCCCCAAGUGCCAAAAUUAUAGGGAUGAGCCAUCAUUCCUGGCCCUAUUUUUGGUACUCUUAACAUAAGUAGGGGAAUUUUUUUUUUUUUUUUUUUUGAUACGGAGUCUCGCUCUGUCACCAGGCUGGAGUGCAGUGGCAUGAUCUCAGCCCACUGCAACCUCCGCCUCCUGGGUUCAAGUGAUUCUCCUGCCUCAGCCUCCUGAGUAGCUGGGACUACAGGCACGCGCCACCACGCCUAGUUAAUUUUUGUAUUUUUAGUAGAGACGGGGGUUUCACCAUGUUGGCCAGGAUGGUCUCGAUUUCUUGACCUCAUGAUCCUCCCACCUUGGCCUCCCAAAGUGCUGGGAUUACAGGCAUAAGCCACCGCGCCCAGCCUAUAGAUUACUGUCUUUUAAGACUCUAGGUUUGGGGCAAUUGGUUUCAUAACAAGAUUAACUGAUAGCCUAACUGACCAAGUAUAUGGGGCAGGUAAGAGGAAUAGUCUAAGACAAACCUUCAUUUCUCAGCGUGGAUAGAUGGAUCAAUCAACAUUGGGAAGCUCUAUUAGAAUAAGUAAAUUGAUGGCAUUACCAGAGGAAUAGGGAAUUUUCUUGAAAGACCAAGUUUAGACAGAUAUCAAUAAUUUGGGCUUGGAAAUACUGAGUCUUAGGAGUUCCUGGGAAACAUACAGGUGAAGAUAUCCAGUUGGCAAUUUGAUAUAAGGAUCUGGAGAUAGAAGAUUUGAUGUAAAAGCUGUGGCUUUGAAUAACAUUGCUCAUUUAUGCGUUUUCAGAACCUUUUUUUGUAGAUUAUUUGUAGACAGUGUUGUCUACAAAUAGAAACAGCUUCUUCCUUUCUGAUGCCUAUGCCUUUUAUUUCUUGCUUGAUUGUAUUAACUGUAACUGCCAAUAUGAUGUUAUUAAUAGAUUAAAUGGGAAUGGUGGCAGUAGACAUCUGUGCCGUGCUCCUGAUUUUAAGGGGAAUACAUUCAACCGUUUACCAUUAAGUAUGUCAGCUCAUUUGUUUGUUUCCUUUUUUUUUUUUUUUUUUUUGUGAGACGGAGUCUGACUCUUGUCAUCCAGGCUGGAGUGCAGUGGUGCCAUCUCAGCUCAAUGCAACCUUUGUAACCUUCGUCCCCAGGGUUCUAGCAAUUAUCCUGCCUCAGCCUGCUGAGUAGCUGGGAUUACAGGCAGCUGCCACCACGUCCUGCUAAUUUUUUUUGUAUUUUUAGUAGAGACGGGUUUCUGCAUGUUGGCCAGGCUGGUCUUGAACUCCUGACCUCAGGUGAUCCACCCGCCUUGGCCUCCCAAAGUGCUGGGAUUACAGGCGUGAGCCAUUGUACCUGGGCUGUUUGUUUCUUUUUCUUUUUCUUUUUUUUUUUUUGAGAUGGAGUCUCACUCUGUCAUCCAGGCUAGAGUGCAUUGGUGUGAUCUUGGCUCACUGCAAUUUCCACAUCCCUGUUUCAAGCGAUUCUCCUGCCUCAGCCUCCCCAGUAGCUGGGAUUACAGGUGUCUGCAAGCACACCUGGCUAAUUUUGUAUUUUUAGUAGAGAUGGGGUUUCGCCCUGUUGGCCAGGCUGGCUGGUCUGGAACUCCUGAACUUGUGAUCUGCCUGCUUUGGCCUCCCAAAGUGCUGGAAUUACAGGCAUGAGCCCCGCGCCCAGCCACGCCUGAGUUUUUAAAAAGACCCGGGUGUUUAUCUGGGAUGUGAGCC